UACGGAGGGUGCAAGCGUUAUCCGGAUUCACUGGGUUUAAAGGGUGCGUAGGAGGGCAGGGAAGUCAGUGGUGAAAUCUCCGGGCUUAACUCGGAAACUGCCGUUGAUACUCUCUGUCUUGAAUCCCGUGGAGGUGAGCGGAAUAUGUCAUGUUGCGGUGAAAUGCUUAGAUAUGACAUAGAACACCAAUUGCGAAGGCAGCUCACUACACGAAGAUUGACUCUGAGGCACGAAAGCGUGGGGAUCAAACAGG
rnacentral:rRNA from 1 species